rnacentral:rRNA from 1 species
UAUCGUAGGAAGGCGAACUGCUCAGUAACACGUAGAUAAUUUGCCCUUAGGUGAAGGAUAAGCACGGGAAACUGUGUCUAAUACUUCAUAGAGGAUUAGACCUGGAAAGGUAUUUCCUUGAAAUUCGUGCCUAAGGAUAAGUCUGCGGAUGAUUAGCUUGUUGGUGGGGUAACUGCCUACCAAGGCGAUGAUCAUUACGGGCUCUUAGCGGAGUUGCCCGGAGACGGAAUCUGAGACACUAUUCCGAGCUCUACGGAGUGCAGCAGUCGCGGAACUUUUACAAUGCGCGAAAGCGUGAUAAAGCGAACCAAAGUGCUAUUCUUUUUGAAUAGCUUUUUCUCUACGUAAAAACUAGGGAGAAUAAGGACUGGGAAAGACUGGUGCCAGCCGCCGCGGUAAUACCAGCAGUUCAAGUUGCAUCCAUUUAAAUUGGGUCUAAAACAUCCGUAGCUUGGUGCUUAAGUCUCUUGUGAAAUCUCACGUCUCAAGCGUGGUGAAGUGCAGGAGAUACUGGGCACCUAGAGAUCGGUAGACGUAAGCAGUACG